AUACUUCUGUAGUUCAUGAGCGUGAUGAUUGGGUGUUCACACGACUGCGUGACGUGUGCCUCCCUCAAGCCUUGUUACGACAUGGGCACAUUACCCCUCUGAUG
rnacentral:snoRNA from 1 species